UUGAAAUAGUUUGAUAAGAAAUGACGAGCAGAACGAAACAAAUAAAUACAACAAAUAAAUAAAAAAAUCGAAGUUUAGG
rnacentral:ribozyme from 1 species